rnacentral:rRNA from 1 species
AACGAACGUUAGCGGCGCGCCUAACACAUGCAAGUCGAGCGAGAAAGGGCUUCGGCCCCCGGGUAAAAGCGGCGCACGGGUGAGUAACACGUGGAUAACCUACCCCUUGGUGGUGGAUAACCUUCCGAAAGGAGGGCUAAUACAGCGUAAGACCACGACUUCGAAAGAGGUUGAGGUAAAAGUGGGCCUCUGUACACAAGCUCACGCCAGGGGAUGGGUCCGCGGCCCAUCAGCUAGUUGGUAGGGUAACGGCCUACCAAGGCGAAGACGGGUAGCUGGUCUGAGAGGAUGAUCAGCCACACUGGAACUGAGACACGGUCCAGACUCCUACGGGAGGCAGCAGUGGGAAUCUUGCGCAAUGGACGAAAGUCUGACGCAGCGACGCCGCGUGAGUGAUGAAGGCCUUC